rnacentral:rRNA from 1 species
CAGCAGCCGCGGUAAUACGUAGGUGGCAAGCGUUGUCCGGAAUUAUUGGGCGUAAAGGGCUCGCAGGCGGUUUCUUAAGUCUGAUGUGAAAGCCCCAGGCUCAACCGGGGAGGGUCAUUGGAAACUGGGAAACUUGAGUGCAGAAGAGGAGAGUGGAAUUCCACGUGUAGCGGUGAAAUGCGUAGAGAUGUGGAGGAACACCAGUGGCGAAGGCGACUCUCUGGUCUGUAACUGACGCUGAGGAGCGAAAGCGUGGGGAGCGAACAGGAUUAGAUACCCCCGUAGUCCCUGUCUCUUAUAA